ACACAUGCAGUCGUGGGGCAGCAGGCUACUACCUUCGGGUAGUAGUGCUGGCGACCGGCAAACGGGUGAGUAACACGUAGCUUACCUACCCAUAGGUUGGGGAUAACAUCCCGAAAGGGGUGCUAAUACCCAAUAAUGAGGAGACUCCAAAGCCCUUAUGGGCGCCUAUGGAUGGGGCUGCGUCCCAUCAGCUAGUUGGUGAGGUAAUGGCUCACCAAGGCUACGACGGGUAACCGGUCUGAGAGGAUGACCGGUCACAGUGGGACUGAGACACGGCCCGCACCCCUACGGGGGGCAGCAGUGGGGAAUAUUGGGCAAUGGCCGAAAGGCUGACCCAGCAACGCCGCGUGGUGGAUGAAGCCCUUCGGGGCGUAAACACCUUUUCUGGGGGAAGAUAAUGACGGUACCCCAGGAAUAAGGGACGGCUAACUACGUGCCAGCCGCCGCGGUAAUACGUAGGUCCCGAACGUUGCGCGAAUUUACUGGGCGUAAAGGGUCCGUAGGCGGUUUAGCAAGUGGUUGGUGAAAUUUCACGGCUCAACCGUGAAACUGCCUUCCAAACUGCUAAACUUGAGGCAGGGAGAGGUCGGCGGAAUUUCCCGGUGUAGCGGUGAAAUGCGUACAUAUCGGGAGGAACACCAGUGGCGAACGCGGCCGGCUGGAACUGUCCUGACGCUGAGGGACGAAAGCUAGGGGAGCAAACUCGAUUAGAUUCCCGCUAGUCCCAGCCGUAAACCGAUGGAUGCUAGAUGUGAGACUACGAAAGUAGUUCGUG
rnacentral:rRNA from 1 species